UACGGAGGGAGCAAGCGUUACUCGGAAUUAUUGGGCGUAAAGGGCGCGUAGGCGAUUUGAAAAGUCUUGUGUGAAAGCCCCGGGCUUAACCCGGGAAGUGCACAAGAAACUGUUGAAUUUGAGUUCCGGAGAGGAAGGCAGAAUUCCCGGUGUAGCGGUGAAAUGCGUAGAUAUCGGGAGGAAUACCAGUGGCGAAGGCGGCCUGCUGGACGGAUACUGACGCUGAGGCGCGAAAGCCAGGGGAGCAAACGGG
rnacentral:rRNA from 1 species